rnacentral:rRNA from 1 species
AAAGCGGAGGAAAAGAAACCAACCGGGAUUGCCUUAGUAACGGCGAGUGAAGCGGCAAAAGCUCAAAUUUGAAAUCUGGUACCUUCGGUGCCCGAGUUGUAAUUUGGAGAGGGCAACUUUGGGGCCGUUCCUUGUCUAUGUUCCUUGGAACAGGACGUCAUAGAGGGUGAGAAUCCCGUGUGGCGAGGAGUGCGGUUCUUUGUAAAGUGCCUUCGAAGAGUCGAGUUGUUUGGGAAUGCAGCUCUAAGUGGGUGGUAAAUUCCAUCUAAAGCUAAAUAUUGGCGAGAGACCGAUAGCGAACAAGUACAGUGAUGGAAAGAUGAAAAGAACUUUGAAAAGAGAGUGAAAAAGUACGUGAAAUUGUUGAAAGGGAAGGGCAUUUGAUCAGACAUGGUGUUUUGUGCCCUCUGCUCCUUGUGGGUAGGGGAAUCUCGCAUUUCACUGGGCCAGCAUCAGUUUUGGUGGCAGGAUAAAUCCAUAGGAAUGUAGCUUGCCUCGGUAAGUAUUAUAGCCUGUGGGAAUACUGCCAGCUGGGACUGAGGACUGCGACGUAAGUCAAGGAUGCUGGCAUAAUGGUUAUAUGCCGCCCGUCUUG